AUGCUCACUCUGUCAACACAUAUACUAAAACUGGAAAGAUACAGAGAAGAUUAGGGCAAGGAUGACACAUAAGUUCAUGAAGCAUUCCAUAUUUUU
ensembl:snRNA U6 U6 spliceosomal RNA